rnacentral:rRNA from 1 species
UUCGGGCCUCUCGCGUCAGGAUAUGCCUAGGUGGGAUUAGCUAGUUGGUGAGGUAAGGGCUCACCAAGGCGACGAUCCCUAGCUGGUCUGAGAGGAUGAUCAGCCACACUGGAACUGAGACACGGUCCAGACUCCUACGGGAGGCAGCAGUGGGGAAUAUUGCACAAUGGGCGCAAGCCUGAUGCAGCCAUGCCGCGUGUGUGAAGAAGGCCUUCGGGUUGUAAAGCACUUUCAGUCGUGAGGAAGGUAGUGUAGUUAAUAGCUGCAUUAUUUGACGUUAGCGACAGAAGAAGCACCGGCUAACUCCGUGCCAGCAGCCGCGGUAAUACGGAGGGUGCGAGCGUUAAUCGGAAUUACUGGGCGUAAAGCGCAUGCAGGUGGUUUGUUAAGUCAGAUGUGAAAGCCCGGGGCUCAACCUCGGAAUUGCAUUUGAAACUGGCAGACUAGAGUACUGUAGAGGGGGGUAGAAUUUCAGGUGUAGCGGUGAAAUGCGUAGAGAUCUGAAGGAAUACCGGUGGCGAAGGCGGCCCCCUGGACAGAUACUGACACUCAGAUGCGAAAGCGUGGGGAGCAAACAGGAUUAGAUACCCUGGUAGUCCACGCCGUAAACGAUGUCUACUUGGAGGUUGUGGCCUUGAGCCGUGGCUUUCGGAGCUAACGCGUUAAGUAGACCGCCUGGGGAGUACGGUCGCAAGAUUAAAACUCAAAUGAAUUGACGGGGGCCCGCACAAGCGGUGGAGCAUGUGGUUUAAUUCGAUGCAACGCGAAGAACCUUACCUACUCUUGACAUCCAGAGAACUUUCCAGAGAUGGAUUGGUGCCUUCGGGAACUCUGAGACAGGUGCUGCAUGGCUGUCGUCAGCUCGUGUUGUGAAAUGUUGGGUUAAGUCCCGCAACGAGCGCAACCCUUAUCCUUGUUUGCCAGCGAGUAAUGUCGGGAACUCCAGGGAGACUGCCGGUGAUAAACCGGAGGAAGGUGGGGACGACGUCAAGUCAUCAUGGCCCUUACGAGUAGGGCUACACACGUGCUACAAUGGCGCAUACAGAGGGCAGCCAACUUGCGAAAGUGAGCGAAUCCCAAAAAGUGCGUCGUAGUCCGGAUUGGAGUCUGCAACUCGACUCCAUGAAGUCGGAAUCGCUAGUAAUCGUGGAUCAGAAUGCCACGGUGAAUACGUUCCCGGGCCUUGUACACACCGCCCGUCACACCAUGGGAGUGGGCUGCAAAAGAAGUAGGUAGUUUAACCUUCGGGGGGACGCUUACCACUUUGUGGUUCAUGACUGGGGUGAAUC